CUCGGUUGCCAGGCAACGCGGAGGCGUGGCCUAGGCAAGGGGCUGUGGGUACUGGAGCGCCUGGGAGGAUCUUCCUUUAAAAAAUCAAAAAGUGACAUGGAACUUUACCAAAAGCAUCUAAAAGCAUACCUCAGCUUCAGUGCCAGCAAAUAUCUCAAUAAAUUGCGGAACGAGCUGCAGCAGCGGAUGCAGGACAGAUGACUGAGAGACACGAACACACACACAAUGAGCACAGAGGCUUCUUGGCAUUGGGCAUAAAGAUGGAUUCCUAUGUGGUUUUGUUUUUAACCCACUAUUCUUGCUCCAGACAAAAAAGAACAAGAACUUUUGACCUAAGACAGUCCUUUGAGAGCAUCCAAAGAGCUAUGGAGAAGAAGCCACAAGAUGGAAUAAAAGUCGGCCCUUCUAUGCUGGGAUCUUUCUUGGUCAUUCUGUUGACAAAGCUCUUUCCUGAGGACCUGAGCUCCACCAUCAGUUGCCAGCAAGAACACUUCCUGCCUGCAUCUCUGACAGGCAACAAGCCAUCUGUCUGCUUUCAGACCUAACUCAGGAUGGUUUGGGACAGAUGAAACCAACUCUGUGAGAAUUAGUUUUCCAUCAUGAACAUGUCUAUCUGGAAGAUUAUACUGUACACACAUCUAGUAAUCUCCUUUAUAAAAUACAUAUUUCAUUUAAAACUAGACAUGUGGAACAGGACAACAGGGGACACACACAAAAAAAAUGCGUCAUUGAUAGUGAAAAAAUGUGACUAAGAUACAUUUUCUCAAGAUGUAAAGAUGCCAAAGCAGAAGAAAAGGAAAAAGCACAUUUGAGACAUGUGGCUGCCCAAUACUGUUUCCUUUUAAAGGCAUGGCCUCAACUGAACCUUCUCACAAAUAUUGAAGUCAUUCAUCAAAUGGAUAACUUUAAGCCCCAUAUAAUGGUUAUAUGUUAAUCAAUUCAAGUUGUAUUUGGCUUAAAGCAAGUAUAUAUAUCUUUCAACUCCUAACAUGUAAGAAUAUUCAACAGGAUAAACAUUUAAAACUGAGUUCAUGUGUACAGUUACUUUCCCACAGGUAAACACAUUUAAAAUAUACUACACUCCUUAUUCCAUAAAUUGGUAGAGAGUUACAAGCUUAGAAAGAAUAUUACAGUCAAGUAAUUAAGCAUUCUAGAUUGAAACACCAAAGUAGGUUGGCUAGCAGUUUUUAAAUCCAUGCAUACAAAAAGAAAAACUACCACUAAAACCACACAAUUCAUAAGUGAACUGAAUUCAAGUUACUGGUAUCUGGCUAAUCUUAGUAAAUUCUCAAAUUAAAUACAAGUGGAUAUGUCUGCUUAUAUUUACCUAUAUUUUUGACAGUCAUCUUUUAAAAUAAUUCUUAAAAUGACUUUCGAUAAAUCUAUUUUUCCCUUGUACUAAGCAUCAUCUAAAACAAUAUGUUUUCUCAUUUGCUUUUUUUGCCUCUAAAAUCUAAGUUCCAUGACAUUCACUGCUAUAUUUCUAGUACCUAGAAUUGUGCUUGGCACACAGUAGCUACUCAGUAAAUAACUGUGAAUGAAUAAAUGAAUGAAUUUAGUGUUCUUGUAGCUAUUGAGGUAUAAAAUAAAUGUAUAAUAAAUACGGCAUUCCAUUUGUCCAUUCAUGUAUAAACUUUUAAAGAAAAAAAUAUGAACUUUGAUGUAGCUCUAUGAGAUAAACAGCAAAAACUUUUUUAAAGCUACUAGUGACUACUAAUAAGUAAUUCUACA